rnacentral:rRNA from 1 species
GACGAACGCUGGCGGCGUGCUUAACACAUGCAAGUCGAACGGAAAGGCCCUGCUUUUGUGGGGUGCUCGAGUGGCGAACGGGUGAGUAACACGUGAGUAACCUGCCCUUGACUUUGGGAUAACUUCAGGAAACUGGGGCUAAUACCGGAUAGGAGCUCCUGCUGCAUGGUGGGGGUUGGAAAGUUUCGGCGGUUGGGGAUGGACUCGCGGCUUAUCAGCUUGUUGGUGGGGUAGUGGCUUACCAAGGCUUUGACGGGUAGCCGGCCUGAGAGGGUGACCGGCCACAUUGGGACUGAGGUACGGCCCAGACUCCUACGGGAGGCAGCAGUGGGGAAUAUUACACAAUGGGCGGAAGCCUGAUGCAGCAACGCCGCGUGCGGGAUGACGGCCUUCGGGUUGUAAACCGCUUUCGCCUGUGACGAAGCGUGAGUGACGGUAAUGGGUAAAGAAGCACCGGCUAACUACGUGCCAGCAGCCGCGGUGAUACGUAGGGUGCGAGCGUUGUCCGGAUUUAUUGGGCGUAAAGGGCUCGUAGGUGGUUGAUCGCGUCGGAAGUGUAAUCUUGGGGCUUAACCCUGAGCGUGCUUUCGAUACGGGUUGACUUGAGGAAGGUAGGGGAGAAUGGAAUUCCUGGUGGAGCGGUGGAAUGCGCAGAUAUCAGGAGGAACACCAGUGGCGAAGGCGGUUCUCUGGGCCUUUCCUGACGCUGAGGAGCGAAAGCGUGGGGAGCGAACAGGCUUAGAUACCCUGGUAGUCCACGCUGUAAACGGUGGGUACUAGGUGUGGGGUCCAUUCCACGGGUUCCGUGCCGUAGCUAACGCUUUAAGUACCCCGCCUGGGGAGUACGGCCGCAAGGCUAAAACUCAAAGGAAUUGACGGGGCCCCGCACAAGCGGCGGAGCAUGCGGAUUAAUUCGAUGCAACGCGUAGAACCUUACCUGGGUUUGACAUGGAUCGGGAGUGCUCAGAGAUGGGUGUGCCUCUUUUGGGGUCGGUUCACAGGUGGUGCAUGCCUGUCGUCAGCUCGUGUCGUGAGAUGUUGGGUUAAGUCCCGCAACGAGCGCAACCCUUGUUCACUGUUGCCAGCACGUUAUGGUGGGGACUCAGUGGAGACCGCCGGGGUCAACUCGGAGGAAGGUGGGGAUGACGUCAAGUCAUCAUGCCCCUUAUGUCCAGGGCUUCACGCAUGCUACAAUGGCUGGUACAGAGAGUGGCGAGCCUGUGAGGGUGAGCGAAUCUCGGAAAGCCGGUCUCAGUUCGGAUUGGGGUCUGCAACUCGACCUCAUGAAGUCGGAGUCGCUAGUAAUCGCAGAUCAGCAACGCUGCGGUGAAUACGUUCCCGGG